GCGCCUGUAGCUCAGCCGGACAGAGCAUCUGCCUUCUAAGCAGAGGGCCGCAGGUUCGAGCCCUGCCAGGCGCGCCA
rnacentral:tRNA from 1 species